AAGCUAAUCGCCUGGAGGUUUGGUGAAGCCAGGCCACAAUCUUCCAUGGCAUUGUCCUCUCUUGAAGGCCCAGUUUGAUCUCUGCCAAGCUGUCUUUGCUAAAGGUCUUGUAAUAGGCUCAGACAGUCCACACUGAGCUCUGAGUGUGGGUAGUGAGAUUCUCUGCUACCCGGUGAUGUCACCAAGAGCUGAAAUCACAAAAGACCUGGGUUAAGUGGUGGAACAUCGAACAUGGCAUUGCAGAAGGGGCAGUGAGUGUCCAACAGCGGCAGCAUGCCACCAGUGGCAGCAGAGAAAAGCAGCGGAGAGGCAGCAACAACCAGCCAGUUGCAGAGGCGCACAACAACCACAGACAUUGCUUGAUGUCUCCCUCCCCCGAUUGGACCUUCCCCCCUGUGAACCCUGGAUCUUCGCUAACCAAGGACUGCCAGUGACAAGUGGGGUGCUGUGGAGGGAGAGGGGAGUGAUGUGUUAAAGGGACAUACAUUCGUUGGACUUUCCCAUUGCAAGAUGUGGCCUUCAGGAACACCCCCCACACACACACCAGCCGAGCAUCCCCACCAGAGAAGAAAGUGCCCAUGAUGGAGCAGUGAAGACAUGUUCCGGGAGAUACUGCACUUCUCCAAUGCAGAGAAAAGGGAAUGCAAAGAGUGGAAGGAAGCCAAAAGGCAGGACAGAAAAGAAAAUAAGGAGUUUGUUAAGGAUGCUACUGAGCAGAUGAUUAAAGCAAUGGAGGAGCAUAUGCAGAUGCUGAAGUCCUUAAUAAUGCUGCAGACUAAGCAGAUCUGUGCCCGCACUCCCCUGCAGCACAUUCAGAACUCUUUUCCAUGCCCCACCAAAACUCCGCCCGCUCAGUCUUUCUGCUUUCUGGGACUUCUU